AACGCACAUUGCGCCCCUUGUUACAGAGGGGCAUGCCUGUCUGAGUGUCUUUUAAACCAUAGGCUUCGGUCUGUUUUGGGCCUCGCGCCUCCGCGUGGCCUCAAAGUCAUUGCUGUCGAGCGGACGGGAUCCAUUAGGAUGGCGCCGCCUCGACUCGUGCGAAAUUCUCUGACGGACCUCAGAUCAGGUAGGACUACCGCCUGAACUUAA
rnacentral:misc_RNA from 1 species